rnacentral:rRNA from 1 species
GAGCACGUAGGUGGGUUUGUAAGUCAGGUGUGAAAGCCUUCUGUUCAAAGGAAGAACGGCAUCUGAAACUGCAGAUCUUGAGUGUAGGAGGGGAGAGUGGAACUUCUGGUGGAGCGGUGAAAUGCGUAGAUAUCAGAAGGAACGUCGGCGGCGAAAGCGACUCUCUGGCCCAUUACUGACACUGAGUGUGCGAAAGUUAGGGGAGCAAACGGGAUUAGAUACCCCGGUAGUCCUAACCGUAAACGAUGGGCACUAAGUAGAGGG